ACCAAUUCUGGGGGAUUAUCAGUUCCUCUUGGCAUAAUGGCUCGGGCGCUAUAUCUGAUUCUGUGGCUUAUCCUGAUUAAUGGCUUCUUUUCAUGUCAUCUAAUCCUGGAAACACCACAUAUAUUU